UACGUAGGGGGCUAGCGUUGUCCGGAAUCAUUGGGCGUAAAGCGCGUGUAGGCGGUUCGGUAAGUCCGCUGGGAAAGUCGGGGGCUCAACCCUCGGAUGCCGGUGGAUACUGUCGGGCUUGAGUACGGAAGAGGCGAGUGGAAUUCCUGGUGUAGCGGUGAAAUGCGCAGAUAUCAGGAGGAACACCAAUUGCGAAGGCAGCUCGCUGGGACGUUACUGACGCUGAGACGCGAAAGCGUGGGGAGCAAACAGG
rnacentral:rRNA from 1 species